UUUCCGUAGGUGAACCUGCGGAAGGAUCAUUACUGGGUUAAUAACAGGCUUUCUAGCCUGCCACCCGCCCUCUGUCAUUCGCAAUUAUCUUGCUUCGGCCGCUGGUUGCGCGAGUGUACUCUGUAUGUUCGCGGGGCCACGGUCGGUCUCCCAACUCUUUGAAUAUAUGUAUGAAGUCUGAAGAAAAUGAUAAAUGAAAAGCAAAACUUUCAACAACGGAUCUCUUGGUUCUGGCAUCGAUGAAGAACGCAGC
rnacentral:misc_RNA from 1 species